AUUGAGGGGAAUGAAGCCUGGUCCGACGACACUAACAUACUAUCCACGACUAGAUCUCACAUUAAAUUCAAGGAUCAAGAUUGAUCAAUUGAGAAACCCCCUUUUGAAAUGGCCAGAUCUUGUUAAUGGCCUCGAGCCAGACAACAUUCCCCUCAAA
rnacentral:pre_miRNA from 1 species